AUAUAAAAAGUUAUAUUACCUGCAUCAUGGGGUCUCUAUCUAAUCGGAUACAAGAAAAUACCGCUGCCACAAUUAAAAUCCUCUACAAGAUGUGUUUUUGAUGAGAAAGGUGACACAAAGGCGCAAAGCUUCACAAAAAAUCAGAAUUGUCUUCGUUGUAAGCAUUUUGAUCGAAGGUUUGCAAUGGCUGGAAA